AUUGAACGCUGGCGGCAUGCCUUACACAUGCAAGUCGAACGGCAGCACGGGUGCUUGCACCUGGUGGCGAGUGGCGAACGGGUGAGUAAUACAUCGGAACAUGUCCUGUAGUGGGGGAUAGCCCGGCGAAAGCCGGAUUAAUACCGCAUACGAUCUACGGAUGAAAGCGGGGGACCUUCGGGCCUCGCGCUAUAGGGUUGGUCGAUGGCUGAUUAGCUAGUUGGUGGGGUAAAGGCCUACCAAGGCGACGAUCAGUAGCUGGUCUGAGAGGACGACCAGCCACACUGGGACUGAGACACGGCCCAGACUCCUACGGGAGGCAGCAGUGGGGAAUUUUGGACAAUGGGCGAAAGCCUGAUCCAGCAAUGCGGCGUGUGUGAAGAAGGCCUUCGGGUUGUAAAGCACUUUUGUCCGGAAAGAAAUCCUUGGCUCUAAUACAGUCGGGGGAUGACGGUACCGGAAGAAUAAGCACCGGCUAACUACGU
rnacentral:rRNA from 1 species